UGUUAUCAUCGAAAGCCAGAAGCAUCAUGCAAGGUUUGCAAUAAGUGUUGGACCAAGGUUCCAAAAGAGUAGAGGUUUAGGUGAA